UACGUAGGGUGCAAGCGUUGUCCGGAAUUAUUGGGCGUAAAGGGCUCGUAGGCGGUCCGUCACGUCGGGAGUGAAAACUUGGGGCUUAACCCCAAGCCUGCUUCCGAUACGGGCGGACUAGAGGUAGGCAGGGGAGAACGGAAUUCCUGGUGUAGCGGUGAAAUGCGCAGAUAUCAGGAGGAACACCGGUGGCGAAGGCGGUUCUCUGGGCCUUACCUGACGCUGAGGAGCGAAAGCUAGGGUAGCAAACGGG
rnacentral:rRNA from 1 species